GCAGUCGACGAGUUCCCGUUGAUUGACGUGCUUGCACUGAUUUCAACAUUGGAACGAGUGGCGAACUGGUGAGUAACACGUGGAAAACCUGCCCAGAAGCAGGGGAUAACACUUGGAAACAGGUGCUAAUACCGUAUAACAACAAAAACCGCAUGGUUUUUGUUUGAAAGGUGGCUUCGGCUAUCACUUCUGGAUGGUUCCGCGGCGCAUUAGCUUGUUGGUGGGGUAACGGCUCACCAAGGCGAUGAUGCGUAGCCGACCUGAGAGGGUAAUCGGCCACAUUGGGACUGAGACACGGCCCAGACUCCUACGGGAGGCAGCAGUAGGGAAUCUUCCACAAUGGACGCAAGUCUGAUGGAGCAAUGCCGCGUGAGUGAAGAAGGGUUUCGGCUCGUAAAACUCUGUUGUUGAAGAAGAACGGGUGUCAGAGUAACUGUUGACAUCGUGACGGUAUUCAACCAGAAAGCCACGGCUAACUACGUGCCAGCAGCCGCGGUAAUACGUAGGUGGCAAGCGUUGUCCGGAUUUAUUGGGCGUAAAGCGAGCGCAGGCGGUUUCUUAAGUCUGAUGUGAAAGCCUUCGGCUUAACCGAAGAAGUGCAUCGGAAACUGGGGAACUUGAGUGCAGAAGAGGACAGUGGAACUCCAUGUGUAGCGGUGGAAUGCGUAGAUAUAUGGAAGAACACCAGUGGCGAACGCGGCUGUCUAGUCUGCAACUGACGCUG
rnacentral:rRNA from 2 species